CACGUAGGGGGCAAGCGUUGUCCGGAAUUAUUGGGCGUAAAGAGCUCGUAGGCGGUGUGUCACGUCGGCCGUGAAAACCUGCAGCUUAACUGUGGGCCUGCGGCCGAUACGGGCAGACUUGAGUUCGGUAGGGGAGACUGGAAUUCCUGGUGUAGCGGUGAAAUGCGCAGAUAUCAGGAGGAACACCGGUGGCGAAGGCGGGUCUCUGGGCCGAUACUGACGCUGAGGAGCGAAAGCGUGGGGAGCGAACAGG
rnacentral:rRNA from 1 species